rnacentral:lncRNA from 1 species
UGCUAAGUUGCUUAGGGCCUUGCUAGUUGCUGAGGCUGGCCUCAGACUUGCAAUCCUUCUGCUUCAGCUUCCCAAGCCAUUGGGAUUACAGGUAUGUGUCACCAUGCCCAGCAUCUUCAUGGUUUUAAUGGUCACCUCUGUAUAGAUAUUUUAAUCUCUAUUACUGACUCCCUAUUACAUCUCCAGCAAACUUUUAGAUUCUACUUUGUCUUCUGCCAUCAUUGAACACUCUAGAAUUCAAAUAUUACCCCUUCUUGGGGCUGUGGGCUUUGAUCAGCAGUAGAAAGCUUGCCUAGCAUGCACAAGACAGUAGUUUUGAUCUUUAGCAAAACAAAACAAAAAGAAACAAAUAUACCUUCUUGUCUUCAUCUUUGUCCUCAGCCCUCACCUUUCCUAUUUGUUAUCGAUAGACACCAUUCUACUAGUCCUAAUAAAUCAUUUUCCACAUCAUAUAUAACUAGAUAGUCACUAUGUCUUGUCAUUAUUUUACUUUAGAAGAUUCCCUAGAAUGCCGUUUUGUCUUUCCCACUGUUAUUUCCCUUGAUUUGGACUUUUUCAGUUUGUCUUCUUAUGUUCUUUCUACCCACACCAUUUCAGGUUGGAAACCAAUCCUGCAGUUGAGGUUUUCAGUCUCUAUAGUCCUGUAAAUCUUUUUCCUUUUCUCUUCUUCCCCAAUAAUAAGUAUUUUCUGGAGAUGGUAUUGAGGUACAUAGGGAGCCUCAACUACUGGUAAUGUUAUUUCUUAUGUUGCAGGGUUGAUAUGUGGGUAUAU